rnacentral:tRNA from 1 species
GCCUCCGUAGCUCAGGGGAUAGAGCACCGCUCUCCUAAAGCGGGUGUCGCAGGUUCGAAUCCUGCCGGGGGCGCAA